rnacentral:rRNA from 1 species
GUGGGGAAUCUUGCGCAAUGGGCGAAAGCCUGACGCAGCCAUGCCGCGUGAAUGAUGAAGGUCUUAGGAUUGUAAAAUUCUUUCACCGGGGACGAUAAUGACGGUACCCGGAGAAGAAGCCCCGGCUAACUUCGUGCCAGCAGCCGCGGUAAUACGAAGGGGGCUAGCGUUGCUCGGAAUUACUGGGCGUAAAGGGCGCGUAGGCGGACAGUUUAGUCAGAGGUGAUAGCCCAGGGCUCAACCUUGGAAUUGCCUUUGAUACUGGCUGUCUUGAGUACGGGAGAGGUGAGUGGAACUCCGAGUGUAGAGGUGAAAUUCGUAGAUAUUCGGAAGAACACCAGUGGCGAAGGCGACUCACUGGCCCGUUACUGACGCUGAGGCGCGAAAGCGUGGGGAGCAAACAGGAUUAGAAACCCGAGUAGUCC